GGCUUCUUCCCUAGAUUUUGAUAGAUUUAAGGUAUCCCUUACUUCCAUCUGCAGUUGCCACUCUCAUCAUCUUCCUUCUACAUCAUCUCAAUUUCACCAUUCUUCCACAAGAACCUUAAAUUUAAGCCGACCCAGAUGUUCAAUUUCAAGAAUUGGCUUAUUUCUUGAUGGGUCUAGAGUUACAGAGGUUUCGGGUAUACCAAGAAGCAUCUUCUUGAAACACCCUCGAAUUAUCACAGCUGUUGCUCGUGCUGAACCAGGCCACCUUUUUGAUGAUGAAUCCAAAGAG
rnacentral:misc_RNA from 1 species